rnacentral:rRNA from 1 species
GGGUUGUGAGGUUAAGCGACUAAGCGUACACGGUGGAUGCCCUGGCAGUCAGAGGCGAUGAAGGACGUGCUAAUCUGCGAUAAGCGUCGGUAAGGUGAUAUGAACCGUUAUAACCGGCGAUUUCCGAAUGGGGAAACCCAGUGUGAUUCGUCACACUAUCAUUAACUGAAUCCAUAGGUUAAUGAGGCGAACCGGGGGAACUGAAACAUCUAAGUACCCCGAGGAAAAGAAAUCAACCGAGAUUCCCCCAGUAGCGGCGAGCGAACGGGGAGCAGCCCAGAGCCUGAAUCAGUGUGUGUGUUAGUGGAAGCGUCUGGAAAGGCGUGCGAUACAGGGUGACAGCCCCGUACACAAAAAUGCACAUACUGUGAGCUCGAUGAGUAGGGCGGGACACGUGGUAUCCUGUCUGAAUAUGGGGGGACCAUCCUCCAAGGCUAAAUACUCCUGACUGACCGAUAGUGAACCAGUACCGUGAGGGAAAGGCGAAAAGAACCCCGGCGAGGGGAGUGAAAAAGAACCUGAAACCGUGUACGUACAAGCAGUGGGAGCACGCUUAGGCGUGUGACUGCGUACCUUUUGUAUAAUGGGUCAGCGACUUAUAUUCUGUAGCAAGGUUAACCGAAUAGGGGAGCCGAAGGGAAACCGAGUCUUAACUGGGCGUUAAGUUGCAGGGUAUAGACCCGAAACCCGGUGAUCUAGCCAUGGGCAGGUUGAAGGUUGGGUAACACUAACUGGAGGACCGAACCGACUAAUGUUGAAAAAUUAGCGGAUGACUUGUGGCUGGGGGUGAAAGGCCAAUCAAACCGGGAGAUAGCUGGUUCUCCCCGAAAGCUAUUUAGGUAGCGCCUCGUGAAUUCAUCUCCGGGGGUAGAGCACUGUUUCGGCAAGGGGGUCAUCCCGACUUACCAACCCGAUGCAAACUGCGAAUACCGGAGAAUGUUAUCACGGGAGACACACGGCGGGUGCUAACGUCCGUCGUGAAGAGGGAAACAACCCAGACCGCCAGCUAAGGUCCCAAAGUCAUGGUUAAGUGGGAAACGAUGUGGGAAGGCCCAGACAGCCAGGAUGUUGGCUUAGAAGCAGCCAUCAUUUAAAGAAAGCGUAAUAGCUCACUGGUCGAGUCGGCCUGCGCGGAAGAUGUAACGGGGCUAAACCAUGCACCGAAGCUGCGGCAGCGACACUAUGUGUUGUUGGGUAGGGGAGCGUUCUGUAAGCCUGUGAAGGUGUACUGUGAGGUAUGCUGGAGGUAUCAGAAGUGCGAAUGCUGACAUAAGUAACGAUAAAGCGGGUGAAAAGCCCGCUCGCCGGAAGACCAAGGGUUCCUGUCCAACGUUAAUCGGGGCAGGGUGAGUCGACCCCUAAGGCGAGGCCGAAAGGCGUAGUCGAUGGGAAACAGGUUAAUAUUCCUGUACUUGGUGUUACUGCGAAGGGGGGACGGAGAAGGCUAUGUUGGCCGGGCGACGGUUGUCCCGGUUUAAGCGUGUAGGCUGGUUUUCCAGGCAAAUCCGGAAAACUAAGGCUGAGGCGUGAUGACGAGGCACUACGGUGCUGAAGCAACAAAUGCCCUGCUUCCAGGAAAAGCCUCUAAGCAUCAGGUAACAUCAAAUCGUACCCCAAACCGACACAGGUGGUCAGGUAGAGAAUACCAAGGCGCUUGAGAGAACUCGGGUGAAGGAACUAGGCAAAAUGGUGCCGUAACUUCGGGAGAAGGCACGCUGAUAUGUAGGUGAAGUCCCUCGCGGAUGGAGCUGAAAUCAGUCGAAGAUACCAGCUGGCUGCAACUGUUUAUUAAAAACACAGCACUGUGCAAACACGAAAGUGGACGUAUACGGUGUGACGCCUGCCCGGUGCCGGAAGGUUAAUUGAUGGGGUUAGCGCAAGCGAAGCUCUUGAUCGAAGCCCCGGUAAACGGCGGCCGUAACUAUAACGGUCCUAAGGUAGCGAAAUUCCUUGUCGGGUAAGUUCCGACCUGCACGAAUGGCGUAAUGAUGGCCAGGCUGUCUCCACCCGAGACUCAGUGAAAUUGAACUCGCUGUGAAGAUGCAGUGUACCCGCGGCAAGACGGAAAGACCCCGUGAACCUUUACUAUAGCUUGACACUGAACAUUGAGCCUUGAUGUGUAGGAUAGGUGGGAGGCUUGGAAGUGUGGACGCCAGUCUGCAUGGAGCCGACCUUGAAAUACCACCCUUUAAUGUUUGAUGUUCUAACGUUGACCCGUAAUCCGGGUUGCGGACAGUGUCUGGUGGGUAGUUUGACUGGGGCGGUCUCCUCCUAAAGAGUAACGGAGGAGCACGAAGGUUGGCUAAUCCUGGUCGGACAUCAGGAGGUUAGUGCAAUGGCAUAAGCCAGCUUGACUGCGAGCGUGACGGCGCGAGCAGGUGCGAAAGCAGGUCAUAGUGAUCCGGUGGUUCUGAAUGGAAGGGCCAUCGCUCAACGGAUAAAAGGUACUCCGGGGAUAACAGGCUGAUACCGCCCAAGAGUUCAUAUCGACGGCGGUGUUUGGCACCUCGAUGUCGGCUCAUCACAUCCUGGGGCUGAAGUAGGUCCCAAGGGUAUGGCUGUUCGCCAUUUAAAGUGGUACGCGAGCUGGGUUUAGAACGUCGUGAGACAGUUCGGUCCCUAUCUGCCGUGGGCGCUGGAGAACUGAGGGGGGCUGCUCCUAGUACGAGAGGACCGGAGUGGACGCAUCACUGGUGUUCGGGUUGUCAUGCCAAUGGCACUGCCCGGUAGCUAAAUGCGGAAGAGAUAAGUGCUGAAAGCAUCUAAGCACGAAACUUGCCCCGAGAUGAGUUCUCCCUGACUCCUUGAGAGUCCUGAAGGAACGUUGAAGACGACGACGUUGAUAGGCCGGGUGUGUAAGCGCAGCGAUGCGUUGAGCUAACCGGUACUAAUGAACCGUGAGGCUUAACCUUACAACGCCGAAGGUGUUU